UACGGAGGGAGCUAGCGUUAUUCGGAAUUACUGGGCGUAAAGCGCACGUAGGCGGCUUUGUAAGUAAGAGGUGAAAGCCCGGAGCUCAACUCCGGAACUGCCUUUUAGACUGCAUCGCUUGAAUCCAGGAGAGGUGAGUGGAAUUCCGAGUGUAGAGGUGAAAUUCGUAGAUAUUCGGAAGAACACCAGUGGCGAAGGCGGCUCACUGGACUGGUAUUGACGCUGAUGUGCGAAAGCGUGGGGAGCAAACAGG
rnacentral:rRNA from 1 species